GGGUUGUGAGGUUAAGCGACUAAGCGUACACGGUGGAUGCCCUGGCAGUCAGAGGCGAUGAAGGACGUGCUAAUCUGCGAAAAGCGUCGGUAAGGUGAUAUGAACCGUUAUAACCGGCGAUGUCCGAAUGGGGAAACCCAGUGUGAUUCGUCACACUAUCGUUAACUGAAUACAUAGGUUAACGAGGCGAACCGGGGGAACUGAAACAUCUAAGUACCCCGAGGAAAAGAAAUCAACCGAGAUUCCCCCAGUAGCGGCGAGCGAACGGGGAGCAGCCCAGAGUCUGAAUCAGCUUGUGUGUUAGUGGAACGGUCUGGAAAGUCCGACGGUACAGGGUGAUAGUCCCGUACACCAAAAUGCACAGGUUGUGAACUCGAAGAGUAGGGCGGGACACGUGGUAUCCUGUCUGAAUAUGGGGGGACCAUCCUCCAAGGCUAAAUACUCCUGACUGACCGAUAGUGAACCAGUACCGUGAGGGAAAGGCGAAAAGAACCCCGGCGAGGGGAGUGAAAAAGAACCUGAAACCGUGUACGUACAAGCAGUGGGAGCACCUUCGGGUGUGACUGCGUACCUUUUGUAUAAUGGGUCAGCGACUUAUAUUCUGUAGCAAGGUUAACCGUAUAGGGGAGCCGCAGGGAAACCGAGUCUUAACUGGGCGUUAAGUUGCAGGGUAUAGACCCGAAACCCGGUGAUCUAGCCAUGGGCAGGUUGAAGGUUGGGUAACACUAACUGGAGGACCGAACCGACUAAUGUUGAAAAAUUAGCGGAUGACUUGUGGCUGGGGGUGAAAGGCCAAUCAAACCGGGAGAUAGCUGGUUCUCCCCGAAAGCUAUUUAGGUAGCGCCUCGUGAACUCAUCUUCGGGGGUAGAGCACUGUUUCGGCUAGGGGGUCAUCCCGACUUACCAACCCGAUGCAAACUACGAAUACCGAAGAAUGUUAUCACGGGAGACACACGGCGGGUGCUAACGUCCGUCGUGAAGAGGGAAACAACCCAGACCGCCAGCUAAGGUCCCAAAGUCAUGGUUAAGUGGGAAACGAUGUGGGAAGGCACAGACAGCCAGGAUGUUGGCUUAGAAGCAGCCAUCAUUUAAAGAAAGCGUAAUAGCUCACUGGUCGAGUCGGCCUGCGCGGAAGAUGUAACGGGGCUAAACCAUGCACCGAAGCUGCGGCAGCGACACUAUGUGUUGUUGGGUAGGGGAGCGUUCUGUAAGCCUGCGAAGGUGUGCUGUGAGGCAUGCUGGAGGUAUCAGAAGUGCGAAUGCUGACAUAAGUAACGAUAAAGCGGGUGAAAAGCCCGCUCGCCGGAAGACCAAGGGUUCCUGUCCAACGUUAAUCGGGGCAGGGUGAGUCGACCCCUAAGGCGAGGCCGAAAGGCGUAGUCGAUGGGAAACAGGUUAAUAUUCCUGUACUUGGUGUUACUGCGAAGGGGGGACGGAGAAGGCUAUGUUAGCCGGGCGACGGUUGUCCCGGUUUAAGCAUGUAGGCUGGUUGUCCAGGCAAAUCCGGAUAAUCAAGGCUGAGGUGUGAUGACGAGGCACUACGGUGCUGAAGUAACAAAUGCCCUGCUUCCAGGAAAAGCCUCUAAGCAUCAGGUAACAUUAAAUCGUACCCCAAACCGACACAGGUGGUCAGGUAGAGAAUACCAAGGCGCUUGAGAGAACUCGGGUGAAGGAACUAGGCAAAAUGGUGCCGUAACUUCGGGAGAAGGCACGCUGGUGUGUAGGUGAAGUCCCUGCGGAUGGAGCUGAGACCAGUCGAAGAUACCAGCUGGCUGCAACUGUUUAUUAAAAACACAGCACUGUGCAAACACGAAAGUGGACGUAUACGGUGUGACGCCUGCCCGGUGCCGGAAGGUUAAUUGAUGGGGUUAUCCGUAAGGAGAAGCUCUUGAUCGAAGCCCCGGUAAACGGCGGCCGUAACUAUAACGGUCCUAAGGUAGCGAAAUUCCUUGUCGGGUAAGUUCCGACCUGCACGAAUGGCGUAAUGAUGGCCAGGCUGUCUCCACCCGAGACUCAGUGAAAUUGAACUCGCUGUGAAGAUGCAGUGUACCCGCGGCAAGACGGAAAGACCCCGUGAACCUUUACUAUAGCUUGACACUGAACAUUGAGCCUUGAUGUGUAGGAUAGGUGGGAGGCUUUGAAGCGUGGACGCCAGUCUGCGUGGAGCCAACCUUGAAAUACCACCCUUUAAUGUUUGAUGUUCUAACGUUGGCCCCUUACCGGGGUUGCGGACAGUGUCUGGUGGGUAGUUUGACUGGGGCGGUCUCCUCCCAAAGCGUAACGGAGGAGCACGAAGGUUAGCUAAUCCUGGUCGGACAUCAGGAGGUUAGUGCAAUGGCAUAAGCUAGCUUGACUGCGAGCGUGACGGCGCGAGCAGGUGCGAAAGCAGGUCAUAGUGAUCCGGUGGUUCUGAAUGGAAGGGCCAUCGCUCAACGGAUAAAAGGUACUCCGGGGAUAACAGGCUGAUACCGCCCAAGAGUUCAUAUCGACGGCGGUGUUUGGCACCUCGAUGUCGGCUCAUCACAUCCUGGGGCUGAAGUAGGUCCCAAGGGUAUGGCUGUUCGCCAUUUAAAGUGGUACGCGAGCUGGGUUUAGAACGUCGUGAGACAGUUCGGUCCCUAUCUGCCGUGGGCGCUGGAGAAUUGAGGGGGGCUGCUCCUAGUACGAGAGGACCGGAGUGGACGCAUCACUGGUGUUCGGGUUGUCAUGCCAAUGGCACUGCCCGGUAGCUAAAUGCGGAAGAGAUAAGUGCUGAAAGCAUCUAAGCACGAAACUUGCCCCGAGAUGAGUUCUCCCUGAGACUUUAAGUCUCCUGAAGGAACGUUAAAGACGAUGACGUUGAUAGGCCGGGUGUGUAAGCGCAGCGAUGCGUUGAGCUAACCGGUACUAAUGAACCGUGAGGCUUAACCUUACAACGCCGAAG
rnacentral:rRNA from 1 species